rnacentral:rRNA from 1 species
AGUGGCGGACGGGUGAGUAAUGUCUGGGAAACUGCCUGAUGGAGGGGGAUAACUACUGGAAACGGUAGCUAAUACCGCAUAACGUCGCAAGACCAAAGAGGGGGACCUUCGGGCCUCUUGCCAUCGGAUGUGCCCAGAUGGGAUUAGCUAGUAGGUGGGGUAACGGCUCACCUAGGCGACGAUCCCUAGCUGGUCUGAGAGGAUGACCAGCCACACUGGAACUGAGACACGGUCCAGACUCCUACGGGAGGCAGCAGUGGGGAAUAUUGCACAAUGGGCGCAAGCCUGAUGCAGCCAUGCCGCGUGUAUGAAGAAGGCCUUCGGGUUGUAAAGUACUUUCAGCGGGGAGGAAGGGAGUAAAGUUAAUACCUUUGCUCAUUGACGUUACCCGCAGAAGAAGCACCGGCUAACUCCGUGCCAGCAGCCGCGGUAAUACGGAGGGUGCAAGCGUUAAUCGGAAUUACUGGGCGUAAAGCGCACGCAGGCGGUUUGUUAAGUCAGAUGUGAAAUCCCCGGGCUCAACCUGGGAACUGCAUCUGAUACUGGCAAGCUUGAGUCUCGUAGAGGGGGGUAGAAUUCCCGGUGUAGCGGUGAAAUGCGUAGAGAUCUGGAGGAAUACCGGUGGCGAAGGCCGGCCCCCUGGACGGAGACUGACGCUCAGGUGCGAAAGCCUGGGGAGCAAACAGGAUUAGAUACCCUGGUAGUCCACGCCGUAAACGAUGUCCACUUGGAGG